GGGUUGUGAGGUUAAGCGACUAAGCGUACACGGUGGAUGCCCUGGCAGUCAGAGGCGAUGAAGGACGUGCUAAUCUGCGAUAAGCGUCGGUAAGGUGAUAUGAACCGUUAUAACCGGCGAUUUCCGAAUGGGGAAACCCAGUGUGUUUCGACACACUAUCAUUAACUGAAUCCAUAGGUUAAUGAGGCGAACCGGGGGAACUGAAACAUCUAAGUACCCCGAGGAAAAGAAAUCAACCGAGAUUCCCCCAGUAGCGGCGAGCGAACGGGGAGGAGCCCAGAGCCUGAAUCAGUGUGUGUGUUAGUGGAAGCGUCUGGAAAGGCGCGCGAUACAGGGUGACAGCCCCGUACACAAAAAUGCACAUGCUGUGAGCUCGAUGAGUAGGGCGGGACACGUGGUAUCCUGUCUGAAUAUGGGGGGACCAUCCUCCAAGGCUAAAUACUCCUGACUGACCGAUAGUGAACCAGUACCGUGAGGGAAAGGCGAAAAGAACCCCGGCGAGGGGAGUGAAAAAGAACCUGAAACCGUGUACGUACAAGCAGUGGGAGCACGCUUAGGCGUGUGACUGCGUACCUUUUGUAUAAUGGGUCAGCGACUUAUAUUCUGUAGCAAGGUUAACCGAAUAGGGGAGCCGAAGGGAAACCGAGUCUUAACUGGGCGUUAAGUUGCAGGGUAUAGACCCGAAACCCGGUGAUCUAGCCAUGGGCAGGUUGAAGGUUGGGUAACACUAACUGGAGGACCGAACCGACUAAUGUUGAAAAAUUAGCGGAUGACUUGUGGCUGGGGGUGAAAGGCCAAUCAAACCGGGAGAUAGCUGGUUCUCCCCGAAAGCUAUUUAGGUAGCGCCUCGUGAACUCAUCUCCGGGGGUAGAGCACUGUUUCGGCAAGGGGGUCAUCCCGACUUACCAACCCGAUGCAAACUGCGAAUACCGGAGAAUGUUAUCACGGGAGACACACGGCGGGUGCUAACGUCCGUCGUGAAGAGGGAAACAACCCAGACCGCCAGCUAAGGUCCCAAAGUCAUGGUUAAGUGGGAAACGAUGUGGGAAGGCCCAGACAGCCAGGAUGUUGGCUUAGAAGCAGCCAUCAUUUAAAGAAAGCGUAAUAGCUCACUGGUCGAGUCGGCCUGCGCGGAAGAUGUAACGGGGCUAAACCAUGCACCGAAGCUGCGGCAGCGACGCUUAUGCGUUGUUGGGUAGGGGAGCGUUCUGUAAGCCUGUGAAGGUGUGCUGUGAGGCAUGCUGGAGGUAUCAGAAGUGCGAAUGCUGACAUAAGUAACGAUAAAGCGGGUGAAAAGCCCGCUCGCCGGAAGACCAAGGGUUCCUGUCCAACGUUAAUCGGGGCAGGGUGAGUCGACCCCUAAGGCGAGGCCGAAAGGCGUAGUCGAUGGGAAACAGGUUAAUAUUCCUGUACUUGGUGUUACUGCGAAGGGGGGACGGAGAAGGCUAUGUUGGCCGGGCGACGGUUGUCCCGGUUUAAGCGUGUAGGCUGGUUUUCCAGGCAAAUCCGGAAAAUCAAGGCUGAGGCGUGAUGACGAGGCACUACGGUGCUGAAGCAACAAAUGCCCUGCUUCCAGGAAAAGCCUCUAAGCAUCAGGUAACAUCAAAUCGUACCCCAAACCGACACAGGUGGUCAGGUAGAGAAUACCAAGGCGCUUGAGAGAACUCGGGUGAAGGAACUAGGCAAAAUGGUGCCGUAACUUCGGGAGAAGGCACGCUGAUAUGUAGGUGAAGUCCCUCGCGGAUGGAGCUGAAAUCAGUCGAAGAUACCAGCUGGCUGCAACUGUUUAUUAAAAACACAGCACUGUGCAAACACGAAAGUGGACGUAUACGGUGUGACGCCUGCCCGGUGCCGGAAGGUUAAUUGAUGGGGUCAGCGCAAGCGAAGCUCUUGAUCGAAGCCCCGGUAAACGGCGGCCGUAACUAUAACGGUCCUAAGGUAGCGAAAUUCCUUGUCGGGUAAGUUCCGACCUGCACGAAUGGCGUAAUGAUGGCCAGGCUGUCUCCACCCGAGACUCAGUGAAAUUGAACUCGCUGUGAAGAUGCAGUGUACCCGCGGCAAGACGGAAAGACCCCGUGAACCUUUACUAUAGCUUGACACUGAACAUUGAGCCUUGAUGUGUAGGAUAGGUGGGAGGCUUAGAAGUGUGGACGCCAGUCUGCAUGGAGCCGACCUUGAAAUACCACCCUUUAAUGUUUGAUGUUCUAACGUUGACCCGUAAUCCGGGUUGCGGACAGUGUCUGGUGGGUAGUUUGACUGGGGCGGUCUCCUCCUAAAGAGUAACGGAGGAGCACGAAGGUUGGCUAAUCCUGGUCGGACAUCAGGAGGUUAGUGCAAUGGCAUAAGCCAGCUUGACUGCGAGCGUGACGGCGCGAGCAGGUGCGAAAGCAGGUCAUAGUGAUCCGGUGGUUCUGAAUGGAAGGGCCAUCGCUCAACGGAUAAAAGGUACUCCGGGGAUAACAGGCUGAUACCGCCCAAGAGUUCAUAUCGACGGCGGUGUUUGGCACCUCGAUGUCGGCUCAUCACAUCCUGGGGCUGAAGUAGGUCCCAAGGGUAUGGCUGUUCGCCAUUUAAAGUGGUACGCGAGCUGGGUUUAGAACGUCGUGAGACAGUUCGGUCCCUAUCUGCCGUGGGCGCUGGAGAACUGAGGGGGGCUGCUCCUAGUACGAGAGGACCGGAGUGGACGCAUCACUGGUGUUCGGGUUGUCAUGCCAAUGGCACUGCCCGGUAGCUAAAUGCGGAAGAGAUAAGUGCUGAAAGCAUCUAAGCACGAAACUUGCCCCGAGAUGAGUUCUCCCUGACCCUUUAAGGGUCCUGAAGGAACGUUGAAGACGACGACGUUGAUAGGCCGGGUGUGUAAGCGCAGCGAUGCGUUGAGCUAACCGGUACUAAUGAACCGUGAGGCUUAACCUUACAACGCCGAAGGUGUUU
rnacentral:rRNA from 1 species